AUUGAACGCUGGCGGCAUGCUUUACACAUGCAAGUCGAACGGCAGCACGGGUUUUGGCACGGCGGGGAGAGUCGCGCGGGGGAGUGUAACAUCUGGACGUGUCUACUUGUGGGGGAGAGAGCCGCGAAAAAGCCAGUUUAAUCGCACACACGAUCUACGGGUGAAAGGGGGGCCCCAGCGCGCCUCGCUAUUUGGGCGGGGCAGAUGGCAGAUUAGCUAGGUGGUGGGGUAAAGGCAUACAGAGGCGACGAUCAGUAGCUGGUCUGAGAGGACGACCAGCCACACUGGGACUGAGACACGGCCCAGACUCCUACGGGAGGCAGCAGUGGGGAAUUUUGGACAAUGGGGGAAAGCCUGAUCCAGCAAUGCCGCGUGUGGGAAGAAGGCCUUCGGGUUGUAAAGCGCUUUUGUCCGGAAAGAAAUCCUGUGCGCUAAUACGGCGGGGGGAUGACGGUACCGGAAGAAUAAGCACCGGCUAACUACGUG
rnacentral:rRNA from 1 species